rnacentral:sRNA from 1 species
UUGAAUAUCUCUAAGGAAAGUGAAGUACAAUUACCUCAUGGAGAGCCUCCAGAUGAGGCACAUCUGUCACCGCAGUCCUUUGCUAUGAAAGGAACACGGAUGCUUAAAGAAAUUCUGAAAAUUGAUA